rnacentral:lncRNA from 1 species
CCUAGUGUGUGCCCUUACCCGAUGCGUCCUGUUCUUCUGCCAGCUGAUGAUGGACCGUUUUGAAGCUGGAUUGGCAGAGGUGGCGAGCACUGCGUGUUGUGAUGAAAGGUAACGGUCAUGCCCAGCCUCCGUGAGCACAGCUGGGCGCCAGCCUCUCUCCUGCCAUGUUACGUUCAUCACCCGGCUUCACGGUGAACAUCCAGGGGAGGUAAGAGCCCAGCCUCAGGGGCGCCCAGGUGCCUUCCCGGGUGGGCUGGGCAUGCAGGUGCAGAGCCAGGAAGGACAUGCAGGUGCAGUCAGAGCUCAGAGCUGCCCUCUGAACCUUGGCAGUAGCAGGCAGCAAACGCAAGCUGGUCCCACUACGUGCAAUGUGGAGAAACUGUCAUCGAUGUCAUCGUGGCCCGUGCCUUCCCUCACGUUAUCCACUUGCCACCCUCCAGGUCGGCUCCACCGAAGGGGAACCGAGCAGUUUUGUGCACACUUCAUGGGAGGGCUGCUUUGCCUUCGGUGGGUCAGAGUGUCAGUACGAGGUGAGUAG